rnacentral:rRNA from 1 species
UUCCGGUUGAUCCCGCCGGACCCCACUGCUAUCGGGAUGGGACUAAGACAUGCUAGUCGUGCGCUUCCAAGCCAUGAUGGAGGCGCGGCACACAGCUCAGCAACACGUGGCUAACCUGCCCUUUGGACGGGAACAUCCCCGGGAAACUGGGGCUAAUUCCCGAUGGGUGAGGAUUCCUGGAAUGGAACUUCGCCUAAAGGGCGCUUAGAGCAUGCUUCUAGGCGUUGCCCAAGGAUGGGGCCGCGGCCGAUCAGGUUGUUGGUGAGGUAACGGCUCACCAAGCCUUUAACCGGUACGGGCCGUGGGAGCGGGAGCCCGGAGAUGGGCACUGAGACAAGGGCCCAGGCCCUACGGGGCGCAGCAGUCGCGAAAACUUCGCAAUACGCGAAAGCGUGACGAGGUCAUCCCGAGUGCUGUCUGCUGAGGACGGCUUUUCCCUAGUGUAGAUAGCUGGGGGAAUAAGGUGAGGGCAAGUCUGGUGUCAGCCGCCGCGGUAAUACCAGCUCUCCGAGUGGUGGGGAUGUUUAUUGGGCCUAAAGCAUCCGUAGCUGGCUGGGCAAGUCCUCCGUUAAAUCCAGCGAUUUAAUCGUUGGCCUGCGGGGGAUACUGUUCGGCUUGGAGGCGAGAGAGGCCGACGGUAUUCUCGGGGUAGGGGUGAAAUCCUAUAAUCCCGGGAAGACCACCAGUGGCGAAGGCUGUCGGCUAGAACGCGCUCGACGGUGAGGGAUGAAAGCUGGGGGAGCGAACCGGAUUAGAUACCCGGGUAGUCCCAGCCGUAAACGAUGCACGCUAGGUGUUAGGGCGGCUACGCGCCGCUCUAGUGCCGCAGGGAAACUGUUUAGCCUGCCGCCUGGGGAGUACGGCCGCAAGGCUGAAACUUAAAGGAAUUGGCGGGGGAGCACCACAAGGGGUGAAGCUUGCGGUUUAAAUGGAGUCAACGCCG